rnacentral:rRNA from 1 species
UGCAGUCGAACGGCAGCACGGGGGCAACCCUGGUGGCGAGUGGCGAACGGGUGAGUAAUACAUCGGAACGUGUCCUGUAGUGGGGGAUAGCCCGGCGAAAGCCGGAUUAAUACCGCAUACGCUCUACGGAGGAAAGGGGGGGAUCUUAGGACCUCCCGCUACAGGGGCGGCCGAUGGCAGAUUAGCUAGUUGGUGGGGUAAAGGCCUACCAAGGCGACGAUCUGUAGCUGGUCUGAGAGGACGACCAGCCACACUGGGACUGAGACACGGCCCAGACUCCUACGGGAGGCAGCAGUGGGGAAUUUUGGACAAUGGGCGAAAGCCUGAUCCAGCAAUGCCGCGUGUGUGAAGAAGGCCUUCGGGUUGUAAAGCACUUUUGUCCGGAAAGAAAACCUCCGCCCUAAUAUGGUGGGGGGAUGACGGUACCGGAAGAAUAAGCACCGGCUAACUACGUGCCAGCAGCCGCGGUAAUACGUAGGGUGCAAGCGUUAAUCGGAAUUACUGGGCGUAAAGCGUGCGCAGGCGGUCCGCUAAGACAGAUGUGAAAUCCCCGGGCUUAACCUGGGAACUGCAUUUGUGACUGGCGGGCUAGAGUAUGGCAGAGGGGGGUAGAAUUCCACGUGUAGCAGUGAAAUGCGUAGAGAUGUGGAGGAAUACCGAUGGCGAAGGCAGCCCCCUGGGCCAAUACUGACGCUCAUGCACGAAAGCGUGGGGAGCAAACAGGAUUAGAUACCCUGGUAGUCCACGCCCUAAACGAUGUCAACUAGUUGUUGGGGAUUCAUUUCCUUAGUAACGUAGCUAACGCGUGAAGUUGACCGCCUGGGGAGUACGGUCGCAAGAUUAAAACUCAAAGGAAUUGACGGGGACCCGCACAAGCGGUGGAUGAUGUGGAUUAAUUCGAUGCAACGCGAAAAACCUUACCUACCCUUGACAUGUAUGGAAUCCUGCUGAGAGGUGGGAGUGCCCGAAAGGGA